rnacentral:rRNA from 1 species
AGUGAACGCUGGCGGUAGGCCUAACACAUGCAAGUCGAGCGGCUGCACAGAAAGAGCUUGUUCUUACGGGUGGCGACUGGCGGGCGAUGGCGAAAUACAUGGGUAUCAACUUUUUAGAAGGGGAUGAAACAGGGAAAAUUACGCCAUUCCCGCAUACGACCUAAGGGUGAGAUCUUCGGAUCUUAGGCACUUGCGCGAUUCAAUGAGCCGAUGUCGGAUUAGCUAGUUGGCGGGGUAAAGGCCCACCAAGGCGACGAUCCGUAGCUGGUCUGAGAGGAUGAUCAGCCACACUGGAACUGAGACACGGUCCAGACUCCUACGGGAGGCAGCAGUGGGGAAUAUUGGACAAUGGGCGCAAGCCUGAUCCAGCCAUGCCGCGUGGGUGAAGAAGGCCUUCGGGUUGUAAAGCCCUUUUGGUGGGGAAGAAAAGCAGCAGGUUAAUACCCCGCUGUUCUGACGGUACCCAAAGAAUAAGCACCGGCUAACUUCGUG